AUGUGCAUUGCAGGGCAACUACUCCAUUGGCAGAGGGAUGGAUUGGAUAUGGAUAUGGCUGAUGCUUCCAUUUGAUCCCAUCCCUAUCUGCCAAAGGAGAUUUGCCCAGCGAUUCACUC
rfam:Oryza sativa Japonica Group DNA, chromosome 2, cultivar: Nipponbare, complete sequence.